rnacentral:rRNA from 1 species
AUGCACGCUGGCGGCGUGCCUAAUCCCUGCCAGUCGAGCGAACGGACGAGAAGCUUGCUUUUCUGAUGUUAGCGGCGGACGGGUGAGUAACACGUGGAUAACCUACCUAUAAGACUGGGAUAACUUCGGGAAACCGGAGCUAAUACCGGAUAAUAUUUUGAACCGCAUGGUUCAAAAGUGAAAGACGGUCUUGCUGUCACUUAUAGAUGGAUCCGCGCUGCAUUAGCUAGUUGGUAAGGUAACGGCUUACCAAGGCAACGAUGCAUAGCCGACGUGAGAGGGUGAUCGGCCACACUGGAACUGAGACACGGUCCAGACUCCUACGGGAGGCAGCAGUAGGGAAUCUUCCGCAAUGGGCGAAAGCCUGACGGAGCAACGCCGCGUGAGUGAUGAAGGUCUUCGGAUCGUAAAACUCUGUUAUUAGGGAAGAACAUAUGUGUAAGUAACUGUGCACAUCUUGACGGUACCUAAUCAGAAAGCCACGGCUAACUACGUG